UAAUGCCGGAUGCUCCAUCACACCGCAUGGUGUGUUGGGAAAGCCUUUGCGGCAUGGGAUGGGGUCGCGUCCUAUCAGCUUGAUGGCGGGGUAACGGCCCACCAUGGCUUCGACGGGUAGCCGGCCUGAGAGGGCGACCGGCCACAUUGGGACUGAGAUACGGCCCAGACUCCUACGGGAGGCAGCAGUGGGGAAUAUUGCACAAUGGGCGCAAGCCUGAUGCAGCGACGCCGCGUGAGGGAUGGAGGCCUUCGGGUUGUAAACCUCUUUUGUUAGGGAGCAAGGCAUUUUGUGUUGAGUGUACCUUUCGAAUAAGCACCGGCUAACUACGUGCCAGCAGCCGCGGUAAUACGUAGGGUGCAAGCGUUAUCCGGAAUUAUUGGGCGUAAAGGGCUCGUAGGCGGUUCGUCGCGUCCGGUGUGAAAGUCCAUCGCUUAACGGUGGAUUCGCGCCGGGUACGGGCGGGCUUGAGUGCGGUAGGGGAGACUGGAAUUCCCGGUGUAACGGUGGAAUGUGUAGAUAUCGGAAAAGAAC
rnacentral:rRNA from 1 species